rnacentral:tRNA from 1 species
UUUAAUAUGGCAGAUAAAGUGCAAUGAAUUUAAAUUUCAUAUAUAAAGAAAAUUUCUUUUAUUAAAA